rnacentral:rRNA from 1 species
CAGUCGCCGCGGUAAUACGAAGGGGGCUAGCGUUGUUCGGAUUUACUGGGCGUAAAGGGCGCGUAGGCGGACUGAUAAGUCAGGGGUGAAAUCCCAAGGCUCAACCUUGGAACUGCCUUUGAUACUGUUUGUCUUGAGUUCGAGAGAGGUAAGUGGAACUGCGAGUGUAGAGGUGAAAUUCGUAGAUAUUCGCAAGAACACCAGUGGCGAAGGCGGCUUACUGGCUCGAAACUGACGCUGAGGCGCGAAAGCGUGGGGAGCAAACAGGAUUAGAGACCCCCCGUAGUCCCUGUCUCUUAUA